GCCCUCCCCGCUCAGGCUGCGUGGAAAAGCGCUACCGCUUUCAGGCAGUAGCGCGGGGAACGGGCGAGAUGCCAGAAGCCACGCUGCGGCCGCCAGAGAGGCCACAGGGGACGGCUCAGCCCGGCUGCCUGUAUCGCUUGGGGGUACCCGCGCAGCGUCCCCUGGCCGUCCCGAGAGGCUCCACCGCCGUUGGAGCGGCGCGAAUCGCCUUGCCCUCGCCGGGGCCGGAAGCGGAGCCGCGCCGGCGCGGGGACAGCCCACCGCCGCGGGGAGGGGUGCAGCCACCGCCCCCCGCCCGAUCCGGCGCCCCCAGAGGCGGGCGGCCAUCGCCCGCCAGCCCGCAGCUUGUCGCGCAGGUCUAGUCCGCCGCCAUGCCGGGGCCUGUACCUGCGCUGGAAGUCCCGCUCGAAGGGGGCCAGCAGUUUAUAACUACACACAAAAAAAUCCAAGUACUUUUGUCUUACAGAGAACUAAAAUUGUUCUCUGUCCUAAGAAUCAGUGGCUCAGUAUCUGGAUGGAGAUCAGUAGUAAGCGGUGUCCCUCAGGGAUCAGAACUGGGAUGAGUGCUGUUUAAUAUCUUCAUCCAUUACAUGAACAGUAGGAUCAAGUGCACCCUCAGCAAGAUUGUGGAAGAUGCCAAGCUGUGUGGUACAGUCAGCACAUCUGAGGGAUAGAAUGCCAUCCAGAGGGACCUAGACAGCUGUAAGCAGUGGACCCAGGUCAACCUCAUGAGGUUCGAUGAAGCCAUGUGCAAGGUCUUGCACCUGGGUCAAGGCAACCUCCUCUAUCAGUACAAGAUGGCAGUGAAGGAAUGGAGGACAGCCCUGCAGAAAAGGACUUGGGGGUACUGAUGGAUGGGAAGCUGGACAUGAGCCAGCACUGGGCCCUCACAGCCCAGAAAGCCAACUGUAUCCUGAGGUGCAUCAAAAGAAGUGUGAUCAGCUGGUCAAGGGAGGUGAUCCUGCCCCCUCUACUCUACACUGCUGAGAUCUUACCUGGAAUAGCAUGUCCAGGUGUGGACACGCUCCUCAGUACAAGAGAGAUGUGGACCUGUUGGAGGGUCCAGAGAAGGGCCACAGAAAUGAUCCAAAGAAUGGAACACCUCCCCGUGAGGACAAGCUGAGAGAGCUGGGGCUGUUCAGCCUGGAGAAGAGAUGCCUCUGGGGAGACCUGAGAACAGCCUUUCAGUAUCUAAAGGGGGGCUGUGAGAAGUAAGGGGACAGACCCUUUAGCAGUGCCUUAGCAGGGUCUGUUGUGAUAGGACAAGUGGAAAUUAUUUCAAACUAAAAGAGGGGAGACUUAGACUGGAUAUAAGAAAGAAGGUUUUUUACAAUAAGGCACUGAAACUGGUUGCACAAAGAGGUAGUGGCAGCCCUGUCUCUGGGGACAUGCAGGGUUUAGACUGGACAGAGCUCUGAGCAACCUGAUCUAGUCGGUGUCCCUGUUCACUACAGGGAGUUGGACUAGAUAACCUUUAAAGGCCCCUUAAACGAUUCUAGGAUUCUGAGAAAUUGUUACAUAACUUGCCUCGGUGUCUACCAUUUCUUCAGUCUCAGUCAGGACUGAAAACCUGUUAUAUGCCUCAGAACUGUCUGUGUAGCAGUGAUUCCCUUGUCUGUGUUAAACUGAAGUUUAAUAACUCUAUCUUAUUUCUGACAUCAUGCUAUGCACAUUAUGUUUUCUUUUGCAAACUGUCUCUGACAUUCCCAUAGUUAUCUGGUUGGGCAAGCAAAGAGGGGAGCAAAUCCAGCUGUUAAUCAAGAGCCAGGAACUUGUUUUUCACAAUAGCUAGCGUUUUACCUGUACUGCUGUUUGAGGCUUCCAGCUGUAAUGGAGAGGUUGCCUGCUGCUCACGAGGAAGGAGGGGGGAAAUCCCUGCAGUCUUUGAAUAUACUACCAUAGGAAACAGGAGCUUCAUUUUAAGCACAGUCUGUUUGGUUUUCUUAAUUAUCAGAAAGCUCAACAGGUUCAGAGUGCCAUUAUUAGCUAUUUGGCAUAGACACAAGAGAGAGAUUUAUAAAUUGGCAUUAGCAAUUCAUGUAAACAGUAGGAAUAUUGCUGUGACUUCGAGCUCCCUGGAGACAGAGACCCUUUCUUAACCUUUGUUUGUGAGAUUGUAAGCAGAAAUAACACAGUACCCAGACUCGCAUCCAAGCAUCCUUGAAUGUCAGGAAGUUAAAUUCUUCAAGUAGCCCCAAGUGCUAUAUUUAAUACCUUGUGAAUUGGGAAAUUGAUAACCAUUCUAUUUGUAUCCAUUCAUGUUCAAGUUUACAACUGAGGUGUGAUUUUAUCUGCCUGCUCAAAGACACAAAGGCAUAUAUUACUGUGAUCUAUUCCAGUGUGAUCUGGCUGAGACUCUAAGGCUGAAUUUGGCUCUGAGGACAUUGCCAUUUAGUCUUCUACCUAGAGGCAAAAAAAGGGCACUCGAAACAAUAAAUGUUGUUGCAGUAGAUGAAUGCUUCUUUGUGUAUUUGUCUGACAUCCACCCAAAGAUAGCAGCUGCCAGUAGAGAUAGGAAGAAGGGGUGGAUGGUAAUAACUGCUCUUUUGGGGGACAGUAAUGGAUCUUAAAGGACUGGCAUCUGAGGCAUGUGUCUGGCACCCAGCUACCACCAAGAACAGAGUAUAUCAAACCACUCUAAAUUUGUCUUUCAAAGGAUGUUUAUUAUUAAGUUGUGUAUACUUUAAAAUGUUGCAUAGCAGUGCUAUGCAAUAACUAGUUACAAUUCUUAUAAUAGUUUCUGUACGAAGUUCAAAAAGAAAUCCAAGUUUUGUAUUGAAGAACAUUCAAGAACUGACUACUCACGUAAUGCACUACAGCAAUUUUCAUUUUCUCAUAUAUUGCUCUUACUUGCAAAAGUAGACAGAGAUGCUAAACUGUAGGAACAGGGUUCUUUCUCUGAAGCACUGGUUCAAAUUCUUCCCACCAUCCUGGCUCUCAGAUUGGCCAGAGACCACCUCAUGGUGUUAGCUGGAGCCUGCAGGGAGACAGACAGGACAGUUGUCAAGGGUACUGUGUAACUAGUUUUCCUUCCACUAUAGGCAUAAAAGGGGCAUUGCAAACAUACAGUACAUUUCUUAAAUAUCACUAAUCUACAUAGUCUUUACAGGUAGGUCAGACAUUGGCAGUUGAGAUUAUACAAGUUUUUUAUUCCUGUCUUUGAGCUUUCCAAGGCUCUGCUGAGAUGCAGAAGGAGGAAAAAUGGGCAGUGUUGCACAGUUGCUGAAUCUCAGCAGCAUGUCAGUUCUUUAAUUAAAACAUUAAAAAGUUUUGCAGUUUUUGUAAGGAUUCAACUAUUAAUUAAUUACUUAGGAAAAAUAAAGGAUAUAACAUUGAAAAUUACAGCAAACAUUCCAAGAAUCCAUUAGUCUAUCCCUUAAUUAGUUUAUGGUUUGGGGGGUUUGUUUUUGUUGGCUUUUUCUCUGUCAGUUUGUUUUAGGAAAUUUAUUAUUCAUUGAGAUUGUCUUUUUAGGUCUUACCAUUGCCCUCGUAUGGUAACAGGAUCUUUAAAUAGAAACACAUCUUUAAAGAUCAAAAGUAAUCUGAAAUCUAAACUACUAAAAAGCCACUUUCAGAGUUGUCAAAUUCCACUAAAUGCUUUUGAUAGGAAUGCUAUUUGCACUUAGCAUACAGAACCAAAAUCACACUGUAGCAGCAUGAAAGCACUAGAUAAUGGCUGCUUUUUGCUUUCAUGUUACUGAAGUAUUACUAUGAUCUGGUGUCCCCAUGGAACACCUCCCUUGUAAGGACAGACUGAAAAAGCUGGGACUGUUCAGCCUGGAGAAGAGAAGCCUCUGGGGAGACUUGAUAGCAGCCUUUCAGUGUCUGAAGGGGGGCUGUAAGAAAGAAAAGGACAGACUCUUUAGCAAGGUCUGUGGUGACAGGACAAGGGAAAAUGGUUUAAAACUAAAAGAGUGGAGAUUUAAAUUGGACAUAAGGAAUUUUUUUGCAAUAAGGGUGGUGAGGCUCUGGAACAGGUUACUCAAAGAUGUGGUGGAGUCCCCAUCUUAGGAGACAUUCAAGGACCUAUAAAGGUCCUUUCCAACUUAAAAGAUUUUAUGAUUCAUUACUACUUAGUAAGAAUAUUUUACUUCAUGUUAUUACAUCACUUCAAUAAUACUCCAUAUCUUUUUGUUUGUUUUGCUUUGGUUUAAUCUCUUCUUUGUAACAAACAGAUAAAUAUUUAUAAUUUAAAUAGCAGUUUAAUUACAAUCACAUAUAAGGUUAAUUUUGAGUUUUCUGAGUUAAUGUUAUCCUACUUCAGCUGGAAUUAUGGAUUAAUGUUUCUCAGUUUCCAAUGCCCUUCGUUUUUUGGUGUCUCUUUGAGUUUUUUGUUAAUCUCUCAAAAUUCUCCCUGGAUGUUGGAUUCAGUCUCCUAAUUCCACUGAAGAAACAUUUGAUAUCUGAUUUUAGUUUAACUAACCACUCUGUGCAGAUAUUUCUCCCAUUCUGCAUGAUCAGCUUCUACAGCAGGGCUCUCAUAUAAGUUCUGGUUUCCACUGCUUUCAUAUUUCAACUUCUUUGUUAGCACUUCAUUCUGUUUGUGUAUGCUUAAUCAGAAUAACCUUUUAAAUUGUACAGAUUUCAGCUUGUGCCAGUAUUCAGUCUUUCUGCAUUAUGUUCUCUUCUCAGGCAACAUCCAGGCUUGUCAUUUUCCAAUUGUCCAUUCAUUCCAUCAGGACAGUAGGCCUUCCCCAAUGAUCAAAUUGUAAUUUGAAGUCUGUAAAGGUGAAGUGUAAGCCUUUUUGGCUGCAGCUGAGAGGUAUGAAUAGCCUUUUUCCUUAUGUCAGUCUUCAGUUAGCAAUCCAGUAGAGGCCUUGUUGGAGAUGCUCUUCCAGUAUAUUGAAUCUUUUCCAGUUUCCUCACUAUAUGUUUGUGCUAAGUUCAGCUGCUUUCUUACUACACUAUUUCUUACCACUGCAUAUAUGCUUUGCUGCUGCAUCUUACCUUGUCAUAUCCCUUUUGCCAUGUUUCCCUAAGAAGAAUGUUUGAGUGUAAAUACUGAUAAAAAUAACAGUGUUACAGCUUCUGAGUCAUCUGCUCACUUUGGUAUUUUUGAUUUUGCUGUUUAUUAUCUAUGAUGGCUGACAUCGCUUCUCCCCUCAUAUAUGCAGCUAGCUCAUUCCAUGUUGUUCUGGUAUCUGCAGGCCCUAAAACUGUCUGCACUCCAGGCCAUCCCUAUAGCUAUUUAAAUACAUCUGUGUAUUUAAACAUUCAAGGCUUGUUAAUUUCUACUGUGCUGCCAUGCACAAAACACUAAACAGAGCCUGACAACUUUUUCUGCUUCUAAUAUGUCUCUGCUUUCUUUUGGCUUAUGACCAUCAUAGUGGUAUAAUCAUUCAAAUUCUGGUCUUCCUUCUUAAAUCCAGACAGUGUUAUGCAUCCACUCAUAAUAAUCAGUUUCUAGAUCUUUUGAAAGAAUCUAGAAAGAAUUUUGAAAGAAUUUGAAAGAGCCCAAAGAUUUAGUCCCUGCUUAAUACCAUUUCCUCACCUCAUCUAUUUCUUCCAAAAAAAAUAAAAAUGGAUAGAUUUCCUAGGAGCAGAGUGGGAAUGUCCAGCAGGGGACUGGGUUUGUUUUUGUCCUACCUAAGAAUCACAGAAUUAUAGAAUCAUUAAGAUUGGAAAAGGAAACUAAGAUCAUCUAGUCCAACAGUCAACCCAACACCACCGUGCCUUCUGAACCAUGUCCUCAGAGCCUUGGUUCCCCUGUCAAUGGUCUUGUCCUUCACUAAUCAGCUAUAAGAGAAACAAAGUCUCUGUUCAGCUGAUUCACAGGAAGGGAGCAGACACAAAGAUCUCUGAUCACCUAGGGCUAUGAUCAGAGGCUUUUAAAGCAAUCUUUGGGCCUCCAUCCAGUGUCCACCUAGUGUCAGUUUGCCAGACUGCCACAUUUUCUUUCUCAGAUUUUCAGCAGCUGGCAUCCACCACAAAGACUGCUGCCUAUCUACAAGAGAUUAGUACACUGUAAAUGAGAAAUGCUUCAAAAAGUCUUCCAUGCCUUUGUCCUCCUCUAUUAAAACUUAGUCUCACAGACCACAUUGAGAUCAUCUACUGUUAUUUUUCUGUUAGUCUUUGUCUGGCUCUUUAACCUUUGCUGUUAAAGCAUUGGUUUAUGCAAAUAGAGAGAUUUCUUCAUUGAUAAGAUUGUUAUCCAAAUUAUUAGUAAUCUUUGUUUUUUCCCUCUUUCCCUGUUUCAGCUGCACAUUUAAAAUACUGAAAUGCUCAUACAGUUCACAAAUUCUCUAUUGCUUCUUGGCCUGUGCAAUCCUUCAGCUGUCUCCUCAGUAACUCUUAUGUUGUCUUCUGUUUCAACACAUGCACAAGAAAAACUCACAAAGGAUUCCAUCCUGGGAGCUGAGUCAUUCUCUAAAUCAAGAACUGUCAUUCUCUGUACAUAAAAUAUUCCUCUGCAGAGCUUAAGGGCAAGUAUUACAUAUAUGAUUUUAUGUUGAUUUUUUUUUUUUUUUUGCUUUUCUUACAUUAAAUUACUUGCUUAUCUGACUCAAAAUACCACAUUAUUUAGCUGUACACGCCAAAAUUUUCUUUGCAUUCAUAUAAUUACAUAAUGUGUUACAUAAUGCCAAAAUGUUAGUCAUUCUUGUGUUCUACUUACUUAUUUGAUAGUCAUUUCAAAAAAUGCACUCACAUUUUCACUGGUUUUGUAUUUACACCUAAUUCCCUUGAACUUUAACUACUUUCCUCCUAUCUGGGAAACCUCCAGUCCUUGAGGAACAUGAUCUGUACAAUCAGAUUGUUAGUCCAGUCACAUCUCUAAAAGACAGUCAUGGUGAAUCGCAAUCUAGCUUUAGUCAUCUGAGAUAGCUAACAUUUAAAAGAGCUGACUAACAGUGACAUGUAUUAGACAUGGAAAAAAACAAGACUGACUAUUUAUUUCUUACCCUUUUCCUAGCACUAUAAAGUACCUUACACAUUCUUUGUGUUUUUAAGUAAACAUUUUAAAUUAAAAAAAAAACUAAAUCUUAUGUCUGUGAUUGCCAAAAAUAAAUGCUUUAGUAGGUUGAAACCACUCUAGCACUAUAAGUUAUUAACAUUAUGCUUUUCCCUGUUUAUGUCCAAAUUGAUGUGUGGGUUACAGCACUGAAUGAGAUUUAUACAAAGAUUUCUGAACACCUCUGUCUUGAGUUUUAUUAUACUGCGUGAAAUAAAACUCUUCAGCUGAUUUCUCCAGCAUAAUUCUUUUCAUGCGUUAAAAAUUGUCAUGUUAGCUCUGUUUUUAUAAAUAAUGCCUUUAUUAAAUUUGUAAUCUUCUAGCCUACUACCUUUUUAUUCCCUUUUCUUUACUUGCUCACAUACUUAUCACUUUUUCUUUCAAUGUGUUUUGUUUUGUCCUUUUAACUCUUUGUUUUACAGUAAGUCUUAUUGCGCUGCUUUCCUUCAGGAAUUUAUAUCUGCAUAGAAGAAAAUUGAGCCUCAUGCCAAUAGAUGAGAUAGACUUUAUGGCUUCUCCAUGAUCACACCACAUAUUGGUAAAAGCAUGGAACUGUGAAAUAUGAGAUGCAAAUGUCAAAAUAUUUCUUUGUUUUUGUAAGGAGUUGCACAAGGAGUCAUUCCUUUUCUGUACAACAAAGUAUGGGUAUUCAUAACUGUAAAAAAAGCCACGCUACCAAGAAUAGAAAAAAUAAAUGCCAUUUGUUGUUUGUUGUUUUGUUUUUCUAAUUUCCUUUCUGUAGAAUGUAGCAUCAAUAUUCUCAAAAAAAAAAAAAAAAAAAAAAAAACCAAAAAACACUAGAAUGACUUUUAGGAGACCAAGGAGAAAAUUCAAUCCCUCUUUCCCCCAGUGUUGCUUGAUUUGCCCCAUCUCCUGGACCAACUUUCAAAUAGGUGACACUAUAGGAAAGCACUUUAAGGAAUGGAGAACCAGUACAGCAGUGGGUAGGACAUUGUUCUCAGCUGCGAAGUGCAGUGGUCUUCAACAAUGAUCACUUUGGAAUCAGUAUUUAAUUUAUGAAAUACACACAACUCCAUAGAAACGAUGCCACAGAUUUCAAACAGCAUUGGAUCAAACUUGUGAGAUAACUGUAUUUUAACCUUGAACUGACCCCGCUCCUGCUCACUGUAUGAUCUGCUUUGUCUUAACCCUAUCGUCUUUAGUACUUUUGAAAGUUCAUCUGUGUCAACAAGGCAAAAGCAAAACUCUGAGAACAGCUUUAGUUCUUUUUCUUUCCAUGUCUUACUACAAAAAAUAAAAAUAAAAAAAAAAAUAAAUUCCCUGUGCCUGUGCUAUUUCUCUUGUUAUUACAAUUUACUUGAAGAUCAGUGCAUAUCUGCAUAAGACUCUUAAAUUGCUAAACAAACAAACAAAAAUUGAAAAAAACAUAGAAAUAGAAAUCUUCUAUAGUGCUUUUAUCAAAGCAUUUCCACAGAAAUGAUGCAUAUCUAGCUCCUAUGGUUCUUAACAACUUUAGCUCUUUAUAACCUUAGCUCUUUCAGGAUGUGAAAACAGUAGUCAUACUGCAGCAUAUGCUAGAGAGCACCCCAAUCUGUCCUAGGAUGCCAAAAAGGGGGAGAAAAGGAAUCCCCAACUAAGAAAACUUAUACAUUUUACUGAAUGGGAAGCUUAUUGUAGAGUUUUUGCUAAGCCAUUACUAUGGCUCUCUCACUUUGAAAUAGAACAUAAAAGGGUUUCAGCAUCAUGAAAAUCAAAAUACAGCCACCUGUUUUUGACAAUUCUCCCCCACACACAGAAAGUACAUUUAUUCUUUAUAUGCGUAUUUGUUUUGCAUGCUGUGGCAUUCUCUUACCAGACUUCUCAGUUACAGAAACAUGUCAGUUAAAAAUUAUUUUUACUACUCGCAAAUGCAUAUUUCAACUGGUACAUGGAACCAUUAAAAGUUUUGCUACACAGCAGCACCUGCAGAACUAAAUAAUUUUCUGCUCCUACUGUGAAGAGAUACCUCUAUUAUUGUCAGUGUGGUAUGGUAAACAUUGUAAUUCUGAACAUGCCCAUGGUACUGUGUGGCUGAUACUGUUGGAAUGCUCCAUGCCACAGAUCCUAUGUAUCAGCCAUCAGUCACUUCUAAUGUCAAUCUGUUGCUUUCUCCUGGAAAUAACUGAUAUAAUCUCACUGUAGUUUCUAUUAUAAGUCCAAUUUGUCCAUGCUCAUUAUGCAUAUAAACUCCUUUGCAUCAGAAUGAGAAUAUGAUGAAGACAGACAUAUUGAUACAUACUUAUCAAUACAUACACCCAAAUACAUGUUGUCUCUAUAAAAGCAAUAAUACAAAUGUAUUAUAUUCAGCUUUAAACAGAACUUUGGUAAUGUAGUUGUAGAUAUAUUGCAUAUUGCUUUUGGCACUACUAAAAAUAAGUCAUUUGGAUUAACCAUUUUCAAGAAGUACAUUUUAUAACUGGAACAUAUUUAUUCAAGUUCUCUUUUGGAUUAAUGCAAUUUGUCUGAGAGCAUGCACUAAUUUCUGUUCUCAGCAUAGCCUUGGGAGGUUAAAAAUGUUAAAUAUGAUUCUUUGCAGGUUUUAAUAUAUCAUCUUGCCUUAUGAAGAGUUGAUUAUCACCACCCAGUGGUGCUUACAUACUGAUAGAAUUCAUGAUUAUAUGUAUCCAAAGUAGUACCAAGAGUACCAUACAAAAGAACUGACUAUAUUCUAUGUAAGUAGCUACUUAAUUGUAGUCAGUAUCAUAAAAUAUUGACGAGUUCUCAUUCUCUUAAAAAUUGGAGCUUUUUGGUCAAGCAAACUGCUUUUCCUUGGACAAAAUUUAUUGCAGUAAGUUGCUGAACUGAAAGUUUAAUUUAAGUUGUAAAAUUGAAAAGCUCUUGUAAUUGAAAAUGAAAAAUAUGGAGUAGUCUGAAUGCACGAAUGAGGAGUAAAUUACAGAUAAAAGGACUGACUAGAGAGGAACCCAUACGGAUAGUUGGAUGUUUACAAAUUACGUUUUAAUGUAAGAUGUAAUUAUAACUUUAUUUUUCAUCUUGAUUCGUUUUCAUUAUUUUCAUGCAAACACAGUGGCAGUUACACAGGAAAGCCAAAUACAGUCUGUAGAAAUUACUUCGGCCAAGUUUAAACAAAGUAUACUGAAAAAUGGUCUCAUAUUUUCACCUGGGAAAACCUUCUAUUUAGCAUUUAUAGCUCUCUACUGAAGGGAAGGAGUACCAGUAAUUCAUACUGCCAGUCUAUCAAAAUCCUGAGCUUUCUCUAUAAAUUGAAAAUACCAAGUUUUUUCGCACAGUUUAUAAAUAUAUUAGACUGCCUAUACAUCUUUUAUGAUUUAUCCAUUCACUUCUCACUGGUAUAAAGCUAAAACAAACUGACUUUUAAUUGUAGCCUUGAAACUCAGAAAUGAAAAGUAUAAAAAUAGGUGGAACUAAUCAUCUAUUGCAGAAAACUGAGGGCAGUUCUAAAGUUCAAGAAGUUUUUUUAAAAAAUAAAAUGAAUGUAGUCUUUAUGAGAAAUGUCAAUUUUAUUCUGGGCAACUGCAGUCAAAACAUGAGGGUUUUAGCUGGAGCAGUUAAGAACCAUAUGCUCAGAAAACUAAAAGAAGGAAAUAAUAGUUUUGGAAAAAGGUUAACAUCUUGACAUUAAAUUAUGGACUUUAAUAAAAAUUAUGAUAUGUUUUUAUAUGAUCAGGUAUAACUGACUGCUAUGGCAGGUAAUAAAACAGAAAUGAAAAGACUCAUUUCAUCUGUCAGUCUCUGGUUGCAGUAGAGCUCUGCAGGAAACCUAAAUGUGUGGGUCUUUGAACUGACCUAAAUAGCUGUGCGAAAUAAACCUGCUUUGCUUUCAAGCCUCAGUGCUGGAGAUAAAAGUAUCAUAUUCACUCUGGCUUGUUUUGUUCAAUAGUAUAGAAAACUUUAGUCCCAGUUUCAAACAAUAGCUCCUGCCUUUUAUAACCUGUUCUGCAGGUUUUUAAUUGAAUAUUUUUUAUUCAUGAAACUAAUUACACAUAUGUAUGCUUCUAUAAUUGCAGUGUGGUCCUUAAACUGUAUAAAUCAAAUUUGUCUUUAUGGGAUGCAGCUUUAUUAGAUUACUAUUACUUUGGAAUGAAUUUAUUAUUAUUAUAAUUAUUUAGAAAAAUAAUACUGCGUUUGUGUAAUCAAUAACCGUAAUUUUAUAGAUUUUAAGCCUUUAAAAGAAAUAGCAAAUCAUUAACUGUAAAUAGGACAAACUUUUUCAAUGAGUGCCUUUCUUCUAGGCAUCUAAAGCUGCUUAGAACAGUCUAAUGGCUUUUUUUUUUUUUUCCCUGCAAUGUGACUAAAUAGAUAAAGUCAGUGGGAGAUAAGUACCUAACUUGUUAAAGAUCUUUCAAAAUCUCAAUUGGUGUUCAUCAAAAUCAUUAGAUGUUGAAAUCCCUUAGGGGAAUCUGGAUCUAAUUCUCUCUACAGCCAUUUAUAUGUGGCUGAUGUGAUGUAUACAGAAAGUGUCAGUGCAGUUUCUGCAUAAAGUUGUUAUUUUCAUAACCAUGCACAGCAAAUGCUAUGCCUUUCAAAUCUCCUGCAAUAUUAGCAUGGUCCCUCAACUGUCUUACUGCUAUUAAAUGGGUAAAGAUGCUCAUACUAUCAAAGUUCAUUUCCACACUGACAAGGAAAUGACUGUACUGAUAUUGGGCAUAUGCAUAAUGGUGCAACUUCACUCAAAAAUGGGAUAUCCAUAACCCAAAAAUUUAAAAACUACAUAACAAUCUUAUACACCAAUCCUAUCAGUUCUUACAUUUAAAAACUAUCUGUACUUCACUAUAAAGUACCAUUAAAUCCACCUGUGAUUUUAGGCUCAAUGUCAGGUAUGUAAGUCAGCCAGAACUUCACCCCUCACACCUAAGGCUGAAAACUUGUCUUAAACUGACAUGCCUUUAUUUAUGUACUUUGGGAUUCACUUGUUCAAAGAAAGAGGUUACAGUAGUCAAAGCUUCACACAGAAACCUUCAGAUUUUUUAUAGCACUGCUACGCUGAUGUGACAGAAUACUGCAUGAUGAUAGAAGAUAAAAGCUAAAUGGUGUUCUGAUUAAUACAAAUACAUUAUUUUCACAUACCUUUCCAAAACAUUCAGAAAAUCAUUAAAUACAUUUUACUUUUCCAGAGAGAUUAAAAAAAUUAGCUCUCAGGUGAUUUUUUCUGAUUAUUUUUACUAUAUAAAUGAAAUUACAAAAAGGACAAUUGUCCAUUUAAGAAUAUUUCUUACCGUGCAUUCCACUGAACAAGUUAGCUAUUUAUCAAAGAAAAGCCAUAGGUCUUUGUUAAUAGAACUUUAGAAAAUAUGAAUGCAAAACAUUCUUUUUUCCUUGCAUAUUACAUAAAAUAAACCUUAAACAGAAAACAUAUUCCUUUCCUAUUCAUUCCAGAUUUGUGAAUCAAAUUCUGUUUGGUAGUUUUAUUACAUCUCAAUAUCAUGAAGAAUUCCACAAAAAGAGAGGAAAAAAAAAGUGGUCCUUUUUUACUUUAUGUAUAUAUUUGUGACUUGCUGAAUCAAGCUUGCCAAUCUAGCUGCCUAAUAUUACCUUAUCAGAUGCAGUAAAUAUGUUAAGAGCAUUAAUACUGACAUUCUUGCAAUGCAAAUUAUGCAUCAGAUAUAAAUACAUGAUAUCACAUGCUUACAAUAGCGAUUAAUUUGGAAAUUGCAAAAUAUCUUCAUACAGAAAUAAUAUCCACAAAUUUUCAGUUUUUUCUUUGAAUGAUACUAUCAUUACCUUCUAAUGAAAACUCCAAGUAAAAAGUUCUUUGCAGCAUUGUUCUCAUCUUGUAACUGGAUUUGAUUUGCUUAAGAUUUUAACAUAUUCAUUCUUCUGCUGGCUACCAAAAUUGAUGUUAAGAACAAAACUCUAGAAAAGAUAAAGAGGAAAGUAAAGAAGAGUGAUGUCAGUUGAAUUUUCUUUUACAAAUACACCUAGAUACAAAAGGAGCUACGUGAAUGAUCUCCAAAUGAAAAAAUAUCUAGUUGUCUAUUACAAAAUAUCAGAAACCAAAUACUGCAUUCUGUUCUUAGCUGCAAUGCUUUGAAAAUAUAUCAAAAAUGAAACACUGCAGCACACAUUGGCCAGAGGUGUGACAUCACUGGAGAUUAUGUAUUUUGCAACUCUGAUGGCUGCAUUGAGAGCAGACUGGAGAACAGAAAUUACAGACGUCUACGUACACAUUCUGAGGAAAACUUCCAACACUAUUCACUGACAGUUAAUAAGAUCAUAACUGAGUUUAUCAUAUGGGUCUAUUUUCCCUGUUAUACAAAUAUCUAAAGAUUAUCUGUCUGUGUAGUUAGUCUUUCUGAUGAUAUGAUGCAUAAUUUUUGAUUAUUUGAUUGUUCAUCUCUUUCAGUAAAACAGAAAUAAUUUGAGUUUUGCAGGUUGGAAAGGUAAUCCCCCCCCAAAAAAAAGAUACAUUUUAAGCCUCUUUACAAGCUGUAGAAUGAUAAAUAAUUUUUAUGACGGGAGCUAUUGCCAUUUCUCAAAGGCUGCAUGAGAAAUAGUUUUUAAAAAUAAAAAUGUAAGUGCUGGGAAAACAAUUGAAAUGCUCUGAGUCCUUUACGAUCAUACUGACUACAUUCAGGUGAUAAUCAACAUCCAAGAAUUAGCAGAGAAAGAGUAAAGCAAGUCUUUCUUAUGCCUUGCUACUGUUUGCAUUACUGUCUGAAUCAAGAGGAAGAUGAUCAUAAGUUACAACUACACAUUUCACUGGCAAAUACCAUUUAAGUAUUUAAAAGAUCUUAAUUUUGCUGAUGAUGUUAAUCAGCAACAGAAAUACAUGUGGUUGGUGUUUUUUGCCUUUUUUUUCCAAUAAGGGUGUAAGAAAUGUAUGCCUGUAUACAUCACAGAUAUUGUUUGAAAUAUCAAGUUUUUUUUGCUUACCUAGAAAGUCAUAGGUGCAGUAAUGAUGACACCAGGCAUACAAUAGCCCAUAACAAAAUACUUCAUAAACUUGAAAUAUUUUGGCCACAGUAGCACGACCAGAACUAACACAAAAAUAAUUUCCAAUAUCUCCUCUCCUUCUCUAGAGAUGUUCCUAGAACUUAUCCUGGAAUGCAUUGUUCUUAUGAGGGAAGUCUUUAAAAUACAUUCUAAAGAACGCACUGUGUCUUCCGGAAGUCUUCUGGAGAGCAGAUAAACUGAAGACAUCCAUCAGAUGUGAAACACAAAUAGUUACACUCCAACUUCCACAACAGAUUCAAUCUAAAAAAGAGAAGAGAGACUUCCUAAAGUCACAGGAAUCGCAAGGAAAAUGCCUUUAUCAUCACAACAAGGCUCAAAAGUCUAAGCAAGCUAAUCCAAGCCCAAAAUAUGUCGUAAUCUGUGGUAAAUAAUCUUGAAUAAGUACAAGAUAAAGACAGACAUAUUGAAAGCACUGUAUGCAUUUUUGUUACCAAUAGGAAAAGAAUGUAAUUUCAACAUGGGUUACACUUUUACUUCUGAAUGUUAUUCUCCCCCAUAUCGUGAACAAGAAUGGAGAUUAAAAAAUAGAAGUCACUCACAAUAUCAUAAAUAAAGUGUGAUAGUUUGUUAAUUUGUGUGUAGUAUAAGUGAAUGCAUGUAAAAAGAACUAGAGAUUAAAAUUCAUCCUUUUGCAGUGUGAAACUGGUGGCAGACUUUGAAAACAAUUUACUUCAGUAAUAAAUAACAAACCAGACAUUACCAUGGCAACAAUAAUAUUGGAGAUGCAGUACUUUAUGAAAUUGUUGGGUUAAAUGAACUUUUGUAAAACUCACUUGGUUUGAAAGUUUUCUCAUUACUUAAUUUUCUCUAAAAAACUUUAAAACAAGUGAAAAUGUGAAUACAGCUACUUUUUUAUACAGGUAAGGCUACAAGCUUCUUAAGGUGUAUGCCUAUAAAUCCAAAUUCUAACACUCACCUCAUUAUUUGUAUUGAUGAGGCAGAAUUCAGCUGGAUGUGGCAGUAGUCCCAGAGGACUUUAUUUCCAGACCACUGGCUAUAAAAACUAGCAGUACUCACAAAGUAGUGGAAUUUAACCACCCUGAUCUGACACAAAACAUUGGCUCAGGAUGGUCCUUGAUAUACUCCAAACUUGUAAGAGGUCUGAAAUGUACAGCAACAGGAAGACUGAAGGCCAUUCUGACCUAUCACCCUUGGUAAGAGCAGUCCUGUAGUUUCAAAACACUACCACCAUCCUUGCCACUAGAGUUAUAGCCAGAGUAACAUCUUUGACUUGGUCUUCUCUGUGUCUCAGCCUGACUGUUAUUCUUCUGGUUCACAUUUCUAGUUACAUCACUGCAUCUGAGCUGACUCCCUAGAAACUACAGAUAGAUGGAGCUAGAUAGUGUACCUGGGCAUCUCAAUUGGCACUCACUGUCUAAGUUUUAGCAAUGAAGUCUCAUGCCUGUUUUGCAGAAAUGGGCAAACACCAUUUUGACCAUUAUCACUUCACUGGUUUUGUUUUCAAUUUUGUUAAUUUACUGAUUCAUACCUCUUGGGUUACCCAACUUACCUUCCUAUGUCUUAACUGCUCUGUGGAUGUCACUUGCUGUAGCAGCACUGGUCUACAAGCACAUAGAAUUUGCUUGAUUCAGGUACCAUCAUGUAGCCUCUUUCAGUAGAGAAGGGUAUGCUUCUCAAGACAAUGAAUCCAGUAUCAUGGUCCCAGUGUCUUGUUUGCAUACAAACUUAACUAGACUGUGGGCCUAGAUGCAUGAUUGGACUUCAGUGAUUUGUUACCUUAUAUAUAAACUAUAAAAGGAAUUCACAACUUAAAGAAUUUAAUAGAAUGGAUAACAUGCAAUAAACAGCCACUCAUAAAGAAUCAGUGGAUUCUUGAUACUAGGAUUCUAUCUACAUCCAAUCUAAAUUGUCAAGAGAAUUGUAACUGGCAUCUAAAUGACAGAGAUACAGUUCUGAGAAUUAUGAGAGUGAACAAAAUAAAAGGAGAAAAAGCACAGUUUAAAAAAAGAACGUGCAUAAUCCUGGUAACAGAAUUAGGUUUUUGGCGAGAAGUCAGUAGGCUGAAUUUAAAUGUUAAUUUUGAUCUGUAGAGCAGAAUGUGCUUGAUAAUAAAGGUUAGAUUUUAUUUUAUUUUUUUAGUAAGUAUCCUAUCACACAGUGAGAUUUAUAUCCUAAUUAGUUUAUAACCCUGUAGCUAGUCCAUCUUACAAACAAUUAGCUGAGAGAUUUUCUUAGUCUAGUGUUUCAUAUGAGUGCAAUAAUUUCUGUUUUCUUCCUCCUGUCCUCUUCAUUGCUUUCCCCUCUUGUUAAUAGCCUUGGGAAAAAAAAAGAAAAAAGAAAAAAGAAAAAAAACCACAGGGAUCUCCUGGAAAGAGUCCAGCAUAGGGCCACAAAGAUGAUAAAGGCCAUAGAGCACCUCUCUUAUGAGGAAAGGAUGAAUCACCUGGGUCUGUUCAGCUCUGAAAAAAGACUGAGAGGGGAUCUUAUUAAUAUUUAUAAAUAUCUUAAGUGUGGGAGUCAAAGCAACAUGACAAACCAGUUUUCAGCGGUCUGUGACGAGGAGAAAUGGCCAUAAACUGGAGUAUAGGAAGUUCUACACCAAUAUGCAAAGGACUUCUUCACACUAAGGGUGAUGGAGAACUGGAACAGGCUGCCCAGGGAGGUUGUAGAUUCUCCUUCUCUGGAGAUAAUCAAGACCUGCCUGGACGCCUACCUGUAUAGGGGACCUAGUCUGCUGUAGGGGGCCUGCUUUGCAGCAGGAUUGGACUUGAUGAUCUCUGGAGGUCCCUUUCAACUCUUGCAAUUCUGUGAUUCCAUGGAAAGCAAAACCUAAAGGGUAAAAACAACCCAAGCUGUAGAUGAUAUUAAAGAAUACAACUUAUAACAUCGUAGCUUUUUCCUAUGAAACAAGUUAGGACCAUUAUUUCUCAGAUUACAACAUCUCUGAUUGAUGUAUGUAUAAGAACAUUUUGUGCAGAUAACAGUAUAAAGUUUAUACAGCUAAUAGUGGAAAAAUCGGAUUCAAUACUUUGUGUCUGAGACGUGAAGAAUAGCUUCAUAUUCUUUAAGUUCCAUUCUUUGAGCUAAAUUAAUCACUUCUACUGUUCUGUCAUCAAUUGUCCACUGAUAUUUGAAAAUCACAGAGCCUACAUUUUAAAGCUAUUGUACUGUACAUGUUGUACAACAGCUGUUAGACAUCAUUUAAAGAGGAAAACAUUUCUGCAAACACAUAUAAGACAUCAGGAAAUAAACUUACAGAAGCAAUUCCUUUAGGCUAAAACCUGACAUAAGGAAAUAAACUAAUGCACACUAAAAUAGAUUUAAUAAGCAUUUCAAUCGGAACAUAUAUAGCCUUCUUUCUUAAGAUGAGAGCAAGAAUACUGAUCUUGGUAGAAUAAGCCAAGUAAGAAGACAAAUGCUUUGACCAUAGCAGAUUCAAAUGAGGAUAUACAGUAUAUUGGUUGCGUGCCAAUUGCUGAUGUUCUAAACAAAGUCUAAGUACAAAGCAUUCAUAACCUUUCACAGUCAAGUUAGCAAUUUAAUUUGUGUUCAAAACUGACUUUGGCAUCAUCAGGAAUACACACUCACAAAUCAAGUGUUUUAAAAAUGGAUUGUUCUGAUAAAGAGAAAAAAAAUGAGUUUAUAAAAGGGAAUUAACAAAAUCAUGAAAGUAUAUUUAAAACUACUGAUAAUUAUUUAAAUACAUUUCAGGGCAGAGAUAACAGCAAAACUUGGCCAUGCUUGCUGAUUCAAGGAAUAAAAUGAAGUACAUUUUCUGUAAUUACAUUUUCUUAGAAUCAUAGAAUCGUUAAGGUUGGAAAAGACCCACAGGUUCAUCCAGUCCAACCAUUCGCCCUUCACCAAUGGUUCUCGCUAAACCAUGUCCCUCAACACAACAUCCAAACGCUCUUUGAACACCACCAGGCUCGGUGACUCCACCACCUCCCUGGGCAGCCCAUUCCAGUGCCUGACCACCCUUUCAGAGAAGUAGUUCUUCCUAACGUCCAGCCUGAAUCUUCCCUGGCGCAGCUUGAAGCCAUUCCCUCUAGUCCUAUCACUAGUCACACGAGAGAAGAGGCUGACCCCCAGCUCACUACAACCUCCCUUCAGGUAGUUACAGAGAGCAAUAAGGUCUCCCCUGAGCCUCCUCUUCUCUGGACUGAACAAUCCCA
rnacentral:lncRNA from 1 species